rnacentral:misc_RNA from 1 species
UUUAACCGCUAGCUUCGAAUUCCCGAUGAUCCAGCUGGCGCUUGCUGCACUUGCUAUUUAAACAACUGUUAUACGAAGACACAAUUUAGUGUGUGUUAACGUGUCUACGGUAAAAUACGGAGACAAGUUAGUAAUGGAUUACGCGUCUAAUUCUUGUACUUUUCCUAACAUUUUUGAUUCAAAGAAAGCAAAGAAAGCAGAGCUUCUGGCCUUUCUGUUGCAGUAAGACGGACAUGCAUACACGUCCAGACGUUAUUAUGUGGCAAGGACACGAGCGUGCUUUUUUUCUGUUGUCGGUACGGUUUUCCUUGGCUGGAAUAAUUGGUUGGUUGGACGCGUUGAGCUAACGGCUAUAUAGCCGACAUCCCGCUAGCACUUAAUAAAAGUUUCGUUUCAACGAUAGUGCGUUUUAACGUAGCUGCGUUGCUGAUUACAACGAUGAUUUUGUUUUGAUAGAAAAAGUUGAAGCUUUAAAAAUCAAAAUCAGAAAAAAACAAAGUGACCAAAUUCACUUGAUAUGCUGGGUUUUGUAGGCUGAGCGGGUUGUGUUGCGCGAUUCAGUCUGUCGUUGACCAGCGUUCGUGUUGCGUGCGUGGCGCAUCCAAGAAUGAGUGGCGUGACUACGUUGCAACGGCUUUUCUGUGCUUACUCGGUAGCACACAAAUAUCCUGCCAGUGAUUAAAACUGUGUGUUGUUUCAACGGCUACUUCAAGAAGGGAAGGAACAUGGAACUUUCUUUCCACUGAAUAUAGAGACAGAACCCUUGGAGAUAGCAUGAGGUGGCUGAAAUAUAAAAGAUACCCCGAUCGGAAGUGGCAGCCAAAUGGAAAAACUUUUUCGGUUCUUUACGCUGAACAAGCUGGAACGCCGACGAUGAGCCCGCUCCAUAUAUCAUUGAAGUUUCUAGAGCCGCCUUUGCGUGCUGAAGCGAAUUUCACUUCAAAUCUAAUAAAUGACAGUCCAUCGUCAUCAAACCCUCCAACAACGUUACCGACAACAUAUGGUAAUUUUGGAAGACGUCGAGGGCAGAAAGACGAUGAUGCGUAUACUCAAGUACUUGGACGUUCGAUAGAGACCCUCACAUCAGCAACUAAAACUUAUGGUUGGGAUGAGUUAGGCAACUUAGUGUCGUCAAAUCGCCCAAAAGGAGCCCAAGAAUAUCUACAAUUAGCAAAGGAGUUCGAGCGGAACAUAUGUAUGUGAAUUGGUAUUCAACUAAUAAAAGAAGUUACCAAGCUCCACAUCAUGCAGUUGAAAUUCGCUUUUUGUUUAUGCUAGUCAAGUAAAAUGUACCUUAUCUUUUUUAUAUUUUUUCAAUGUUAGAAAGCAAAUUUUUAAGAUAUAGUAUACUAUAUUCAUUGGAAAAUUGAAUAUGAAAAUAAAACUGAGUGAU